rnacentral:rRNA from 1 species
UCUCAGUUCAGAUUGCAGGCUGCAACUCGCCUGCAUGAAGUCGGAAUUGCUAGUAAUCGCAGAUCAGCAUGCUGCGGUGAAUACGUUCCCGGGCCUUGUACACACCGCCCGUCACACCAUGGGAGUCGAUAACACCCGAAGUCGGUAGCCUAACCGUAAGGAGGGCGCCGCCGAAGGUGGGAUUGAUGACUGGGGUGAAGUCGUAACAAGGUACC